GUGCCCGUAACUCAGUGGUAGAGUGUGAGAUUGCAAUAUAGAAGUGACCGCCACGCAAUCCUUGCAAUAUCUUGAAGCCCCGUGUUCGACCCACGGCGGGCACU